CUCCUGCACCAAACGAGUCAAUCAGCGCAUCUCCAUACCAGAACAGCGGCGCUCAACCUUGAGAUCCUGACUACGGGAAUACAUAAACCAAACAAGACAUGAGAUGACAUCACUGGACAGUAAUACAAAGGGAAUGAACUGAUAAUCUGUGUACAUUUCAUAUGGUUUAUUUUGUCAACAUAUGACUGUUACCUUAUUACAUAUGUAUAUGAUAUUAUAUUAUUUGUACUAUGUACACACAUGAUUCAACAAACGUUUACGCACAUAUAUAUUUUCAAGAUUGGAUAAUUGUGUAUUUAUCUGUGUUCGUAUGCAUAAUAGAUGACUAUAUGUAACGAGAUGUAACUGUGUAUAGUUUAAAUGCAGUAUGUGUAUACCGCGUAAAAUAAGAAAUGUCUCGUUACACUUUAGUUUGAUGACAUCAGACAAUGAUUUCAGUGAUUUACGCGUGUUUAAGAUUAACAGACUUAACAUACCAGAAAAAGGAACAAAAUGCAAUUAUGUUAUGAUGAAAGUUUGGCGUAAUGUUCUAGAUGAUUGAUUGUACUGAUUGUUGUAAUAAUCACUGAUCCUUUUACAACAAAUAAGAUAUAGAACUCGAACCCAAACCCAAUGUUUCUCUUUCUAAAGCUAUUGAUAAGUAAAAUAUUUUCUGUGAAAUCAAAAAGUCUUUUAACAUCAUAAAACAUUUCCCCGUGUGACCAAAUUCAUAUUUAAAUCAUUUACUUUCAUAUAUCGCUUAAGGAAGGUUAUCCGAUAUUUUGGCACCAUCAUUGAUGAAAAGCUCAGUUUUACAGCGAACACAGACAAAAUCUGAAAAAUGCUAACAAAGACUUUACUCUUCACGGAAAUUCAACUCUUUUAAUGUCAAUUAUACUUCCAAACGCCACGUUUGAGAACUAACAGGGCACCAAACUCAUUUCUUCCAACCAGCAUCGCUAUUCUAAACCAAGGUACUUGUGUGUGUCAUGUCAUUGUGUACAUGUUGUGUUGUUUUUGGUGAUUCGCAUAUUAUUACAUGCACUAUUUCAUGCUUUUAUAUAUCACAGCAUCUAAUGUACAACAAAUUCCCUUUCGGGAAAAUAGAGUAUUAUUGUCGUUAUUAUUAAAACAAUUCAAACAAGA